CCUGCACGAAAGGUGUAACGAUCUGGACACUGUCUCAGCCAUGAGCUCGGUGAAAUUGUAGUAUCGGUGAAGAUGCCGAUUACCCGCAGUGGGACGAAAAGACCCCGUGCACCUUUACUAUAGCUUAGUAUUGACUUUGGAUAAGUGAUGUGUAGGAUAGGUGGGAGACUUCGAUCCUGCGUCGCCAGGCGUAGGUUAGUCAUUGUUGAAAUACCACCCUUCGCUUAUCUGAAGCCUAACCCCUUGCGGGGGACAUUGCUUGGUGGGUAGUUUGACUGGG
rnacentral:ncRNA from 2 species